AUUUCAUAUCUUUACCUCUUCAGGGUAAUACUUUAAUAAAGCUAUCCGAAA
rnacentral:tRNA from 1 species